ACAGCCAUAUCACAUGGAAACACUGGUUCCUGUAUGAUCACUAAAGUUAAAUAACAUUGAGCCUGGUCAGUACCUAGGUGGGUGAUCACCUGGGAAUACCAGGUGCUGUG